GACGAACGCUGGCGGCGUGCUUAACACAUGCAAGUCGAACGGAAAGGCCUCUUUCGGGGGGUACUCGAGUGGCGAACGGGUGAGUAACACGUGAGUAACCUGCCCUUGACUUUGGGAUAACUUCAGGAAACUGGGGCUAAUACCGGAUAGGAGCUCCUGCUGCAUGGUGGGGGUUGGAAAGUUUCGGCGGUUGGGGGUGGACUCGCGGCUUAUCAGCUUGUUGGUGGGGUAGUGGCUUACCAAGGCUUUGACGGGUAGCCGGCCUGAGAGGGUGACCGGCCACAUUGGGACUGAGAUACGGCCCAGACUCCUACGGGAGGCAGCAGUGGGGAAUAUUGCACAAUGGGUGGAAGCCUGAUGCAGCAACGCCGUGGGCGGGAGGACGGCCUUCGGGUUGUAAACCGCUUUCGCUCAUGACGAAGCUUUGUGUGACGGUAGUGGGUAAAGAAGCACCGGCUAACUACGUG
rnacentral:rRNA from 1 species